CCGAGGCCCGCCGUGGCUUUCGGCGGCAUCGGGGGCGCUGGUCCGCCCCCGCUCCUCCGGGGCUGGCGGAACGACGCUCUGGUCAGGUUCCUCUGCUUCGAGGGCGGUGCGUGGGCUGAUGUCCAGGGCGAGGCGGCUGUGCCUCUGCGCCGGGCGUUCCUGGACGGGAGGGUGGUCGCAGAGGCCGCGUAUGGCGGCAGGGAGUUCCUGUUCGACUUCCUGUGGAUGGUGCGCAUCGACGCUGCCACCGCCGAGGAGGUCGCCAUGGGCUGGAUUGAUGACCUCGGGGCCUGCUUCUUCCCUAUGCCGGAGAGUGGGAGGAAGAGGAAGAGGGGCGAGCCUGAGCUGGAGGACGGGGCGUCGUCCGGGGUGGAUGAGAUGUCCGACGAGAGCAGCGACACGGUGGAGUCCUCAAUCCAGCGGUCAACAAGGCGGCUAGCUUGGGGCAAGGCGGUGAGGCUGGAGGAGAUGGACAAGUUCUACCAGGUUGUUUCAAGAAGCUCUUCUUCAAAGGGAUAGCCCCGGGUGGGCGGCGGCGUGGCGAUUAAUACGGCGGUGCACAAGGUCGUGCAGGGUCCCCGGUCCAGGGCGUUCCAGAUGCAGGGCCAGCUCCUAGCCGCUGCGCGCGGCACCGACGGGGGCAAUGCCAAGUUCGCAUGGUAUGGCGCUCCGUCGGCGGAUGUGGCCGCGUCGGUGGAGCACGGGUUCGGCAGGAUGAACAGCCGGGUCCUUUGCCAUCGCGCGCACGGCGACGACGUCCACCUCUCGCCGCCUCAGUCUCCUUAUGCCAGCGCAAUGCUAGCAAAUGCAGAUGAGAACGGCGAGGGGCAUAUCAUGCUGUGACGUGUUCUGAUGGGCCGGCCAGAGGCCAUCCCAGCUGGGUCCUCCAAGCUCCACCCCAGCAAUGACAAUUACGACAGUGCCGUCGACUACAUGCAGAACCCAUAGUGGUAUGUUGUUUGGCGCAAGGACAUGAACACGAGGAUCCUCCCAGACCCAGAGUACGUCGUCAGCUUCAAGUGUCCCAGCCUCCAUCAGAUGCAAGGAUCAUCGGGAGCGACCUCCACGCUUAAGAAGCCUUCGCCGGUGGCUCUUGAUAUGUUUCCGAUGCUUCUAGCAGAGAUCCAGCGGUUCGUGCCAUCUUCCAAACUGCAAACAUUGCAGGGGACCUACAAUUGCUUCAAGGUAAAUUGGUGGGGGAUGCUUAUUAGUGUGUGGUGUGCGAAUAUAAUAGCAAUUAUGGAAAGAAAUCUGGAGAGUUGGUGA
rnacentral:rRNA from 1 species